CAGUAUGUACGUCACGCUAGUAUCGAUGCCAGCCGCUAGCUCACGCGAGCAUGAAAAAAAAGAGAUGGUGCAAAAUGAACUUAACAGACGUUUUAUUUUUUUUGUUCUUAGCCGCUAAAAGUAAAAAAAAAAGUUUUGCGCAUAGGCGAACUUGUACUAUGCGACUUAUUUUUCUAGCGUUACCUAGCGACCAGCCAAUGACGCGCACGACUCGCCAGAUGCAUGCGCCAUGCGGCCGACACGCCACCGAAGUGCGCGAGGGCGGAUGCGCAUGUGAGCCUUCGCCUGUUCGACGACCCGUCGGUCUGUUUUUUUUUCUAUUUGGAUGUAGCUCUGGUUGCUUGGACCCUAGGCGUAUUCUUGCGUUCCUCCUGCACUUCGACAAGGCACCACAGUGCUUUUGGACUAUGGCAAGCUGAUGCCAUCCAGAGGAGCUUCAUACGGAAACUACUGCUGCUUACCUCGUGCCACAACAUUGGAUGAGCGCACCAAAAGCCUGGAACGAGCAUUUAUAAAGAGCAAAAUAAAUAUUUACUCAUUUC